AAACUUACCUGGACGGGUCAAUGGGCGAUCAAUAAGGCUCAUGAUCCAGGCUGAUGACUUUCAUUGCACUUUGAAGAGGUGCUAGCCUAAGGUCGCCCCAGUGGGCUAGCCCUAAAAUAAAAAAUUCUC
rnacentral:snRNA from 1 species